rnacentral:sRNA from 1 species
AGAAGCUAUGUCAGUCUGGCCUUGCGACUCGGCCUGGAAAAAAGGGAGGUUGAAAGAUGAAAGAACGUCACAACGAACCAAAGACAGCAGUCGUCAUUCAGUAGUAGUAUCAGAAGAAAGCAAUCAACAAUUAUGGAACCAGAUGCGGCCACGGUUGUUCAUGCGAACGAACCUCCUUGCUUGUAUUUUGUCUCCAAAUAUUCGUAACAC